AUUGAACGCUGGCGGCAGGCCUAACACAUGCAAGUCGAACGGUAACAGGAAGCAGCUUGCUGAUUCGCUGACGAGUGGCGGACGGGUGAGUAAUGUCUGGGAAACUGCCUGAUGGAGGGGGAUAACUACUGGAAACGGUAGCUAAUACCGCAUAACGUCGCAAGACAAAAGAGGGGGACCUUCGGGCCUCUUGCCAUCGGAUGUGCCCAGAUGGGAUUAGCUAGUAGGUGGGGUAACGGCCCACCUAGGCGACGAUCCCUAGCUGGUCUGAGAGAAUGACCAGACACACUGGAACAGAGACACGGUACAGACUCCUACGGGAGGCAGCAGUUGGGAAUAUUGCACAAUGGGCGCAAGCCUGAUGCAGCCAUGCCGCGUGUAUAAAGAAGGCCUUCGGGUUGUAAAGUACUUUCAGCGGGGAGGAAGGCGAUAAGGUUAAUAACCUUGUCGAUUGACGUUACCCGCAGAAGAAGCACCGGCUAACUCCGUGCCAGCAGCCGCAGUAA
rnacentral:rRNA from 1 species